CCUACGGGUGGCAGCAGUGAGGAAUAUUGGUCAAUGGGCGAGAGCCUGAACCAGCCAAGUCGCGUGAGGGAGUACUGCCCUAUGGGUUGUAAACCUCUUUUGUCGGGGAGCAAAAGCCGGACGUGUCCGGCUGUGAGAGUACUCGAAGAAAAAGCAUCGGCUAACUCCGUGCCAGCAGCCGCGGUAAUACGGAGGAUGCGAGCGUUAUCCGGAUUUAUUGGGUUUAAGGGGUGCGCAGGCGGAUUUUUAAGUCAGCGGUAAAAUCGUGGGGCUCAACCCCAUCCAGCCGUUGAAACUGGGGAUCUAGAGUGUGCGAGAGGUAUGCGGAAUGCGUGGUGUAGCGGUGAAAUGCAUAGAUAUCACGCAGAACCCCGAUUGCGAAGGCAGCAUACCGGUGCACAACUGACGCUCAGGCACGAAAGCGUGGGUAUCGAACAGGAUUAGAUACCCCUGUAGUC
rnacentral:rRNA from 1 species